CUUAUCAUUUAGAGGAAGGAGAAGUCGUAACAAGGUUUCCGUAGGUGACCUGCGGAAGGAUCAUUGUCGAUGGCUCACAAUCAGUUUGACCGGCGAACAUGUUUAUCUAACCCAUAGGGGUUGGCAUGAUCUCAUCCUCCCCUCUGCCGAGAGGCGGCUGGCAUAGCGCGGCUUCCUCUCGACAAACACAAACCCCGGCGCUUUGUGCGCCAAGGAAUCCAAAAUUGUUCGGUGCGGCCCCGGGGGACAUUGGAGACAAUGUCUCGCGGGUCUCGUCACCACACACGAAAAAGAAUGACUCUCGGCAAUGGAUAUCUCGGCUCUUGCAUCGAUGAAGAACGUAGCGAAAUGCGAUACUUGGUGUGAAUUGCAGAAUCCCGUGAACCAUCGAGUCUUUGAACGCAAGUUGCGCCCGAAGCCAUUAGGUUGAGGGCAUGCCUGCCUGGGUGUCACACAUCGUUACCCUCACGCAAAUGUCUAUUGUUAGCCACUGCGUGGUGUGUAUGCUGACCUCCCGCGAGCGGUGUCUCGUGGUUGGUUGAAAAUCGAGUUCACGGUCGAGUGCGCCGUGAUAAAACGGUGGAUGGGCAACGCCCGAGACCAAUCAUGCGUGAUCCUGUCCGGUUUGGACUCUUGGACCCCUGCGGCGUCUUCGGAUGCUCUUAGCGAGACCUCAGUCAGGCGGGGCUACCCGCUGAGUUUAAGCAUAUCAAUAA
rnacentral:misc_RNA from 1 species